AACGAACGCUGGCGGCAUGCCUAACACAUGCAAGUCGAACGAGACCUUCGCGUCUAGUGGCGCACGGGUGCGUAACGCGUGGGAACCUGCCCUUAGGUUCGGAAUAACUCCCCGAAAGGGGUGCUAGUACCGGAUAAUGUCUUCGGACCAAAGAUUUAUCGCCUUUGGAUGGGCCCGCGUUGGAUUAGCUAGUUGGUAGGGUAAAAGCCUACCAAGGCGACGAUCCAUAGCUGGUCUGAGAGGAUGAUCAGCCACACUGGGACUGAGACACGGCCCAGACUCCUACGGGAAGCAGCAGUGGGGAAUAUUGGACAAUGGGCGAAAGCCUGAUCCAGCAAUGCCGCGUGAGUGAUGAAGGCCUUAGGGUUGUAAAGCUCUUUUACCCGGGAUGAUAAUGACAGUACCGGGAGAAUAAGCUCCGGCUAACUCCGUG
rnacentral:rRNA from 1 species